GACGAACGCUGGCGGCGUGCUUAACACAUGCAAGUCGAACGAUGAAGCUGGAGCUUGCUCCGGUGGAUUAGUGGCGAACGGGUGAGUAACACGUGAGCAAUCUGCCCUUGACUCUGGGAUAACUGCGGGAAACUGUAGCUAAUACCGGAUACGAGGCUCGAAGGCAUCUUCGGGUCUGGAAAGAAUUUCGGUCAAGGAUGAGUUCGCGGCCUAUCAGCUUGUUGGUGAGGUAAUGGCUCACCAUGGCGACGACGGGUAGCCGGCCUGAGAGGGUGACCGGCCACACUGGGACUGAGACACGGCCCAGACUCCUACGGGAGGCAGCAGUGGGGAAUAUUGCACAAUGGGCGAAAGCCUGAUGCAGCAACGCCGCGUGAGGGAUGAAGGCCCUCGGGUUGUAAACCUCUUUUAGCAGGGAAGAAGCGAAAGUGACGGUACCUGCAGAAAAAGCACCGGCUAACUACGUGCCAGCCGCCGCCGUAA
rnacentral:rRNA from 1 species